GUGAAGAAAAAGCUCCUUGUAUGGAAAACACAGCAGACUGAAUGUCCGAAGAUCUAGCUCCAGGAUCAAUGCACAUAAUUCAACUGAAGUGAUAACGAUAAAGUCAAGACAAGUUUGCUCAUGCUGAAGCAAUGAAAACAGUAUCAAAACUGACACCUGAGAAAAUACAUAAAGCCUUUGAUGUCUGAUGAAGCAAGCUGCCAUGUUGUGAAAUGUUCUACAGAGACGUCCACAUGGGAGGCAACAGGGGGAAGCCUCCACCAAGAGUUCUCCUGAGUAACCAACAACCACUUGAGUGAGCUUAAAAGUGGACCCCGCAGGGUAACACAGAAGGUGAGAAGACUUGAGAGGAAGGAGUUGGAAGGGUGUCACAGGAUGCCAACAGGCUGAAGGAGGAGUUAUAAAUGGCCUGCUGAAAUAGAGAUGAAUUCGCAUGUCUAGUGGAAGCUGAAAGAGGAAGAGUUCAGCAGAGCACCUCAAAGAGCCCGGAAAAGCAGCCAUGGGGAAAAGGUAACCAUGAGUGAAGAUAUGAUAUGCAAUUUGGAAUUUGCUGCACAGAUGUAUUCAAAAUGCAUGGGCUACUGAAACCCCUUUUAAAAGUGAUCUGAGAAGGGAUGCAGGCUGAUUCCUUUGCUUUGGAAGGAAAUGAAGUGUUUCAUAGAACCAUAGGCCUAAGGUCAGAGACUGAUAAAAGAUCUGAAAACUACAGGUGUCCUCUAUAAACACGGUCACCCAGGCCACCUGUUCCGUGGCAUGGAAGGGUCUAUUAUCAGUGAUGCCUCCCUGCAGGGCUCUCCUUGGCCCUGUCAGGUUCAUCGCCAUUGUCCGAAAUAAGCACGUUAAUCGUUUAGUGAGUACAUAGUUCAGACCCAAUCAUUUGAGGAAAAUUCUCUGGAAAUCGCCACCUUCAAGUCAACAACUGCAACAUUUAAACGAUUCCUAGUAAUAUAAGGACAUGAAGACAGCUCCGCCUCCCUUUGCCUCAGUUUAUUCCCUUCUGCAGCUGGGAGAAAAAUGGUACCCACCUCAGGGCAGUGCUGUGAGGAGGUAAUGAGUUAAGACCAGCAGAGCGCUUAGAAAACAAUACAUAGCAUAUAAUAAGGACUCAGAAGCGUGCACACAGGAUGAAUGAAUAAAAGGUCAGCCAUCAAUCUCUCUGCAGCAGCCUUAGAUGCAGAAUUAAUACCCAGUGCACUGCAGGAUGCCUGGCCUGAACACCACCUGGUGGUGAGGGCGGAGCAGAAUCUGAUUCCCCCCUCAUUGCUGCUAACCAGAAUCACACGCGAGAGAAAUUGGAAGCCCUUCUAAAGAGAAAAGAAAGGCCUUCAGUAACAGCUUCAGUCUCACCUCAUAUCCAAAGCCACCUCUCUGAGCCGUUGCAGUCUCAACGACAGUUGAGAAGCAGUUACGAAGCUUAUCAAAGGAUCACUGCCCUGUCAAUCUAGUUCCCGGCUUACCCUCAUUUUAGGUGUGCGCAUGCUCCGUGGCCUCCAAACGCAAUCACGGGAGAGACACCGGAAGUGCCGAGAAGCCUUGCGAGGAUUCACUCACGCUUUCCCUCGUUGCUCCAGGACAGAAUUAGAUGUGUUGGAUUUUGUUAUACCCUUUCUGCUUGAAGGGACCACACAUCAUAAGCCUGCUCCAGGAGGGCAAACCUGAUAGUCAGCAUGUUCAGCCUGGGGAUAGGAUACUUUGAUUUCUUCAGGACUUCUUCCCAGAAUCUGGAGAUGAAGAUGUGACCACUGGACUCCGCGGUGGACGCUACACUGGAAAGGAGAAGAGGACCAAGCUCUGGGAGCUUCCACCACGCAGCCAACUCCCCCAGCUCUUCUGGCAGUUAACGCAUUUGAACUUCAUGACAGCCAAUCAUUAGAGAAACUUUAGAGUUUGAUGCUAACUUCUAUUUCUGCAUUCUUAAGUUUGGCUUUUAGCUAUUAUGCAGAACACGCGUGGUAAAUCUUUUUAAAAACUAUACAGAGACUAAGUCUGAGGGGGAGGCACCUGGGGAAGGGGUUUGUGUUGGUGCCUGCUGACUCAUGGUGGGGGAGACAUGUGUUUGUCCAUUUUACAGACGAAGGAACUGAAUCUCAGAGAGGCUAAAUGACAUCAGUAGAUCACCCAGACACUACGCUUGCAAGCCAGGGGGAUUAAAAAUACUAUCUGACUUUAAAGUUAAAAGCUCUCCCCAGUCGACUCCACUGACUUCCACCCCAAGGGCAUCUGUGGUUCAUGCAGGAACUAAACAAAAGCAAGAACAGAAAGUGAUUACUGGAGCUCCAAUGCAGGGGUUGGUCAAACAGAAGAACGAAGGCCGGAAGCACCUGGCCUGUGGUUAGGUGGUGUUCUGCUGCUCAUUUCUGAAGCAGAGAGAAGAAUUGCUUGAAUUUUUCUUGUGUCUUUUUUGCCCAGUGUGAAGAUCGAUGGAGGCAGGAGAUAGGCUAGCUACACAGUGGCAAGAGGAAAAAGCAAAGCAAGACUUUAGAAGUGAACCUGGGGGUGUUCUCUGUGCUUCUUCCUUCCAAUUGGAGGACACUGUAGUUCAGCAACAAACAAGGGGAACUCGGAAACUAGGCAAGCAAAAACCCCAAAGCAGAGUCCACAAGAGUCCUGGAGAAGUCUCAGAUGACUCUGGCCAGGUCAGAGAUGGGAGUGUAAACCCCCAAAUCAGGCAGCCUUGGAUGAGGAGCCCUGGCAAGGGAGCCUCUUGCUUCCCAGAGGUAGAGAGUGAGGAGAAUGAGCUGGAAAACAGAUAAUCUGAGCAGAAAAGAGCUUACAGUUAUGAGUUGUUUGUAUACUCAUAUAUCACCUUCAUCUAUGUAUGAUUUUCCUCUGCUAAUUGAAUUUCUUUCUGUAAACUUGCAUUUUUUUUUUUUUUUUUUUUUUUUUUUUUGGCUGUGUCUGGGGCCAGGGAUCAAACAUGUGCUAUAGCAGGCAGUGACCUGAGCUAUAGCAGUGACAACACCAGAUCCUUAACCUACUAAGGCAUCAGGGAAGUCCUAUAAACUUGGAUUUAGAGUGCUGAUAAAAAAAAUUUUCUAAUCCCUGCCUAUCUGGAAAUGGAAGAAAAGAUAAUACACCUGAACUUGAGGCUGGAUAGUGGUUCUCAAUGGUUCACUUGCCCUGGCAUGAUCCAGUAGAGAUGGUACUCAAUACUCUUUGCAAAUGUUGGGGUUUUUUGCCUAGCAUGGGGUCCUGGACAUGUGCCAAGGCCUUUCUCCCCAUGAAGUGGCAGCCUGAGCUGCAGAGGAGACUAAGGCUGCAAAGCUGAUGAGUUAUUUGACUGCUCACAAAAAGUAGAAUGCUACAUAGAUUCAUGGAAUAGACUCAAAAAGUUAUGAAAUGUGCCACAUUCAAAUUCAGAAAAUUUUCUUCCUAAAGAAAAGGGAAUAAGUCAUUAAAGCAGUUUUUUGUUUUUUGUUUGUUUGUAUUGUUUUGUUUUAAAAGAACUCAUAACAAAAAGCCCAGAUGAGAGGCUGGUUUCUUCUUGUAGAUGCUUUUUCUAUUUCUCUGUGUUAUUAGAGGUUAAAGCUGUUAGGUAUGAAAUCUGGCCUACUUCACAAGCUGGAGGUCUUGCCUUAAGGGAUCAUAAUUAUUUUAUUUUAGUUCCAACCUUCUGUGGUAUCAUAGCUACAGUGUAAAAAGGGAAAAUGUCUAUACUUGAGAUUUUUUUUGAUGACAUUAAAAAUAUACAAGGUAUAACCUAUAAAGUACACAAGGUAUGAACUCUAAAAUGUGAGGGGAAAAAGACAUGUCAAAACUAUGGUAAAAUGUAGGGGGGAAAAAAACGAGAAAGUCUUGAUCUUGUGCAGACUGGAAUACCAUUUUCAUUCCUUUACCAUUUCUUCAGAAAGUGUUUUGUUUUGUUUUGUUUUGUUUACUGUUCUUUCAGGUUAUUCAUACAGUCUGUUAAUGUCAAAGCAGUUAAUGUCAAAGCAGGGAAAAACAAUGUUAUAUUGAUAACAUUUCAUCUAUUCAGACCUAUGAUGAGUCUUUGAGCCCAUGGGUCCCACUUUAUGUAACAGAUAUAUUAGGUGAAAAUUUGAAGAAAUUUGGGCACAAUAUUAUAAAUGGGUAAGGAAAUAUCACUAUUUAAAGUAUUUAGUUAUUCAAUGAAUGAUUAGGUGUUUAGUAAAUUAUUUUU
rnacentral:lncRNA from 1 species